AUUGAACGCUGGCGGCAGGCCUAACACAUGCAAGUCGAACGAGUGGCGGACGGGUGAGAAAUUUAUGGGAAAAUGCCUGGUGGAGGGGGACAACUAAUGGAAACGGUAGCUAAUACCGCAUAACAUCGUAUGUGCCCAGAUGGGAUUAGCUAGUAGGUGGGGUAAAGGCUCACCUAGGCGACGAUCCCUAGCUGGUCUUAGAGGAUGACCAGCCAAACUGGAACUGAGCACCGGUCCAGACUCCUACGGGCGGCAUCAGUGGGUAAUUUUGCACAAUGGGCGCAACCAUGAUGCAGCCAUGCCGCGUGGAUGAAGAAGGCCUUCGGAUUGUAAAGUACUUUCAGCGGGGAGGCGUUACCCGCAGAAGAAGCACCUGCUAACUCCGGGCCAGCAGCCGCGGUAAUUC
rnacentral:rRNA from 1 species